GUGUCUGUAGCCUAGUGGUCAAAGGCAGCACUCCAGUAAUGUUGAGGUCGUGGGUUCAAAUCCCACCAGACACA
rnacentral:tRNA from 1 species